UUUAAUGAAGAUAUUGCCUCACAGUUUGAGAACAACCAAAGUGAGUUCCAAAUCUAGAAUAAGGAAGUCUUCCUCUAAAUGAUUAGGUAGAAAGGGAGAUGAUGCUCAGCUAUCAAUGAGUAGGAUGCAGACUCAGACCUAAAGCACAAGAGUAGAGAGGGAGGCCUGUGUCUUCCUUUCCUGAAACAGCUCAGGAUACACGAAUCCUGGUGCUUAGAAAUGGCAAAACUGGCCCCUCUGCAAAGAAGUAGCCCAGAGGUUGUGAAUGUCAUAGAUUAUUCUGUAUCCAUGUCCUAGGAAUUCUGAAGAAUGAUAAGCAUCUCUAUGUAAGACAGAAGCAGAAGAAACCAGUUGGCAAACAUUCUAACCUGGGCUAUUCUUUCAUUUGCAGGGUUUUUGCAGUGCCAGGUGUGGAUUGAGAUUCAGCCUUUGUAAGACUUACUCACUGAAAACAGGAAUUUGCUUGGUUCCAAGAACAAAGUGUGCUUUGUACACUUGCUGGUGCCAUUUGUGGCUGAGAAGAACUUUCUCGGAUUGCUUUGGAAUGAUGAAGAGUGUGUCUCUCAUCCAAGAACUGAAAUGAUACCUUCAGGUGAGUCCAGAGUCCAAAUCCUCAAAGGAGGGAUUUAGGAAAGCAUUCGAGAGGAUCAGGUUUAAACCAAACAAUCCCUUAAGAAGAAAUUCCAUUCAAGUUCUUUCUUUAAAACAGGAAAUUAAACAGAGUCAUUAUAAGGCAAACUCAAGAGAGUGGUAGCACCAUCCCUCCCAACUGUUAGUUGCAUGAAUUUCAUUUUGGGUCAUCUGUGAAUCGAAACUAUUUAAAUUUGACCCUGUUAACCACAGCUCUUUUAAAGUAC
rnacentral:lncRNA from 1 species